ensembl:lncRNA
CGAGAAAAGAUUGAUUUUUAUGUUAUUAUAUUCCAAAUCAUAAUUUAAAAUGUUCUAGUGCAGGUCUUUUGGAAAACUAUGCAAAAAAAAAUAAAAAAAAAAAUUCAAGGUCAAUCUUUGCUGCUUCGUUUAGCCAACAUUUGGAACUGUCAACCAAUCAAUCUUUGCUGCUUCAUUUAGCCAACAUUUGGAACUGUCAACCAAUUUAAAUUAGGUUUCAAUCUUUCAGAUUUUCAAAAAACAAGUGAAGUCUUUUUAAUUAUUAUUAUUAUUUUAUAUACUGAUACCAGUAUUCAUUCACCACAAUGACAGAAAUUACAACCACUGGACCGACCACUCCAGGAAGUACAACGAUGGAGACCACAACAACAGAAAGUUCCACACCCAGCACAACAACCACAACAAUAGAAAGUACCACCACAGGCACCACAACUGAGAUCACAACAACAGAAGAAACCACAACUCCAGAAAGUACUACUACAGCUACCACAACGCAAGAAAGCACAUCAACCGAGACCACAACAACAGAAAGCCCUACAACAGAAAGUACCACCACUACCAUUACAACUUCAGAAAGCACCACAACCGACACCACUGCAGACACUACAACACCAGAAAGCACCACUACAGGUACCACAACAACAGAAAGCAUGACCACAGGCACUACAACAGCAGAAAGCACCACUACAGGUACCACAACAACAGAAAUCACAACAACCGAGACCACAACAGAGACCACAACACCAGAAAGCACCACCACAGGUACGACAACAUCAGAAAUCACCACAACCGAGACAACAACAGACACUACAACACCAGAAAGCACCACUACAGGUACCACAGCACCAGAAAACACAACAGCCGAGACAACAACAGAAACUACAACAACAGAAAGCACCACCACAGGUACCACAAAAACCGAGACCACAAAAGACACUACAACACCAGAAAGCACCACUACAGGUACCACAAUAGCUGAGACCACAACAGACACUACAACACCAGAAAGCACCACAACCGAGAUAACAACAGACACUACAACACCAGAAAGCACCACUACAGGUACCACAACAGCAGAAACCACAACAGACACUACAACACCAGAAAGCAUCACAACCGAGAUAACAACAGACACUACAACACCAGAAAGCACCACCACAGGAACCACAAAACAAGAAAGCACCACAACCGAGACAACAACAGACACUACAACAACAGAAACCACCACCACAGGUACCACAACAACCGAGACCACAAAAGACACUACAACACCAGAAAGCACCACUACAGGUACCACAAUAGCAGAGACCACAACAGACACUACAACACCAGAAAGCACCACAACCGAGAUAACAACAGACACUACAACACCAGAAAGCACCACAACCGAGACAACAACAGACACUACAACACCAGAAAGUACCACUACAGGUACCAUAACACCAGAAAGCACAACAACCGAGACCACAACAGGGAUCACAACAACAGAAAGCACCACCAGAGGUACCACAACACCAGAAAGUGCCACUACAGGUACCACAACACCUGAAAGCACCACAACCGAGACCACAACAGACACUACAACACCAGAAAGCAAUACCACAGGUACUACAACACCGAAAAGCACAACAACCGAGACCACAACAACAGAAAGCACCACAACGGAGAUCACAACAACAGAAGAAACCACAACUCCAGAAAGUACUACUACAGCUACCACAACACCAGAAAGCACAACAACCGAAACCACAACAACAGAAAGCACUACAACAGAAAGUACCACCACUGCUAUAACAACUUCAGAAAGCACCACAACCGAGACCACUACAGACACUACAACACCAGAAAGCACCACCACAGGUACCACAACAGCUGAGAAAACAACAGACACUAUAACAACAGAAAGCACCACCACAGGUACCACAACAACAGAAAGAGCAACAACCAAGAGCACAACAGACACUACAACAACAGAAAGCACCACCACAGGUACCACAACACCAGAAAGCACCACAACCGAGACCAAAACAGACACUACAAUGCCAGAAAGUACCACUACAGGUACCACAACACCAGAAAGCACAACAACCGAGACUACAACAACAGAAAGCACCACCAGAACUUCAGAAAGUACAACAUUGGAAACCACAACUACUGAAAGCACCACCUCAGGUACCACAACAACAGAAAGCACCACAACUGAGAGAACAACAGAAAUUCCCACAAUAGGUUAAUAGAUUUAAUGUCUUUUUAAAGUAUUUUCUGUAUACAGUGGCUCUAGAUAAAAUUCAAAUAAGAUCCAUAUCUAAUAAAUUGCCCUGAAGGAAUAAAUGCA